UACGUAGGGUGCGAGCGUUGUCCGGAAUUACUGGGCGUAAAGCGCACGCAGGUGGCUGAGUCAGUCGAUUGUGAAAGCCCUGGGCUUAACCUGGGAAUUGCAGUCGAUACUACUUAGCUAGAGUAUGGGAGAGGGUAGUGGAAUUCCCGGUGUAGCGGUGAAAUGCGUAGAUAUCGGGAGGAACAUCAGUGGCGAAGGCGGCUACCUGGCCCAAUACUGACACUCAGGUGCGACAGCGUGGGGAGCAAACAGG
rnacentral:rRNA from 1 species